rnacentral:rRNA from 1 species
AUUGAACGCUGGCGGCAGGCCUAACACAUGCAAGUCGAGCGAGCGGCGGACGGGUGAGUAAUGUAUGGGGACUGCCCGAUAGAGGGGGAUAACUACUGGCAACGGUAGCUAAUACCGCAUACUAUCGGAUAACCCAUAUGGGAGUAGCUAGUAGGUGGGGUAAAGGCUCACCUAGGCGUCUCUCUCUAGCUGGUCUGAGAGGAUGAUCGGCCACACUGGGAGUGAUACACGGCCCAGACGCCUACGGAGGCAGCAGUGGGGAAUAUUGCACAAUGGGCGCAAGCCUGAUGCAGCCAUGCCGCGUGUAUGAAGAAGGCCUUAGGGUUGUAAAGUACUUUCAGCGGGGAGGCGUUACCCGCAGAAGAAGCACCGGCUAACUCCGUGCCAGCCGCCGCGGUAAUAC